CGCCUAUUGAGAAUAAUUUUAGGUCUAGUCUGCCCAAUGAGUAGUUAAAUGGCCGCAGUAUUUUGACUGUGCAAAGGUAGCAUAAUAAUUAGUUUUUUAAUUGAAAGCUUGUAUGAAAGGCUUGAUGAGAAAAUUUCUGUUUCUUUAAAAAUUUAUUAGAAUUUUAUUUUUAGGUAAAAAAGCCUAGAUUAUUAUAAAAGACGAGAAGACCCUAUAGAGUUUUAUAUUUAUAUGUAAAUUUCUAUAAGUGGAAUAAAAAGUAAAAUUUUCAAUAAAAUAUUUGAUUGGGGUGAUAUAAAAAUUUAAUAAACUUUUUUAGGAGUUUUACAUUAAUUUAUGGGUUUUUGAUCUUAAAGUUUAGAUUAGAAGAAAAAAUUACCUUAGGGAUAACAGCGUAAUUUUUUUUAGAGUUCUUAUCGAAAAAAAAGAUUGCGACCUCGAUGUUGGAUUAAAAUUAAUUAUAGGUGUAGAAGCUUAAUAAUUAGGUCUGUUCGACCUUUAAAAUUUUACAUGAUCUGAGUUUAAACCGGUGUGAG
rnacentral:rRNA from 1 species